rnacentral:rRNA from 1 species
UACAGAGGUCCCAAGCGUUGUUCGGAUUCACUGGGCGUAAAGGGUGCGUAGGCGGUCUGUCGCGUCGGCUGUGAAAACUCGGGGCUCAACUCCGAGCUUGCAGUCGAUACGGGCAGGCUAGAGUUCGGCAGGGGAGACUGGAAUUCCUGGUGUAGCGGUGAAAUGCGCAGAUAUCAGGAGGAACACCGGUGGCGAAGGCGGGUCUCUGGGCCGAUACUGACGCUGAGGAGCGAAAGCGUGGGGAGCGAACAGG